UCUUGAAUCCCUCUGACCGGACUUUAAUCGUACCUUCUCUUCGGAGCAGAGGUGACAGGUGGUGCAUGGUUGUCGUCAGCUCGUGUCGUGAGAUGUUGGGUUAAGUCCCGCAACGAGCGCAACCCCUAUCUUUAGUAGCCAGCAUUUAGGGUGGGCACUCUGGGGAGACUGCCAGGGAUAACCUGGAGGAAGGCGGGGAUGACGUCAAAUCAUCAUGCCCCUUAUGAUUUGGGCUACACACGUGCUACAAUGGCGUAAACAAAGGGAAGCGAGAUCGUGAGAUGGAGCAAAUCCCAAAAAUAACGUCCCAGUUCGGACUGUAGUCUGCAACCCGACUACACGAAGCUGGAAUCGCUAGUAAUCGCGAAUCAAAAUGCCGCGGUGAAUACGUUCCCGGGUCUUGUACACACCG
rnacentral:rRNA from 1 species